GUUGAUUGGUUUUAUUGAUUUAUUUUAUUGGUUGUUGUUGUUUGUUUGUUUUUGCAGUGAUUAGUUUUCCUGGGAAGCAAGCAUUGCUUUGUGGUGUUUCCCUCAAUCCCACCCUACACAUAAAAGCAACUGAUGCAGAAGAAUUUCUCCUCUUUUGACCUUGGCAGUCCUCACCAUUCAUGGGCUUUCUCAGAUGGCUUCUUCAUCAAAGGAUAGGAGACCAGAGUGUCUCAGUCUUCAGGGCCUCUCCAUGUGAUGAGGGCUUCUCACAGCAUGGUGACCUUAGAGAAGUUGGAUUCCUUAAAUGGAGGCUUCGGGCUCUAGAAGCAAGUGUUCCAAGAGCCAGCGCUUUUAAAUGAAAAGUUCUUCCACUUUGUUUUGUUGUCAUUUCUCAGACUCUCAAUUUUGGAAAUACAGGAACUAGUUUUAAAAGCCCAUUUUGUAGAAUUUUUCCAUAUAAAAAAUUCAGGCCUUAGGACUCAAAUACUAAGUUCAAUGGGUGUUUCGUUUGAAUUAUAUGGCAAGGUAUUUCUUGUUUUGUUAGGGAAAUAUCAAUUUCAGGUAAAGAUUGGAUUUUGGAUACUUUGUUAAAUUUGAUCAUAAAAUAAGGACAUCAAAUGGCCUUGGGGCAAAGGAAUAGUAGGUCAGAAGCCCACAUUUCAAGUGAGUGAUCUACAGUGCUUUUGGGGUCUCUUUUCUCCAACACGUACAGUCAUCAAGCUGAUGAGUGAUAUCAAAAGAAAAGUUGCCUAGGAUUAAGAGCCUUAUUGUCUUGGAAGAAAUAAAUAUCUUUUCCAUCCAAUUCUUAGCA
ensembl:lncRNA